rnacentral:misc_RNA from 1 species
CAGAUACGACAAAACCAGCUUUGCAGGCUGGCUUUGAAGGACUAAAAGAAGUGGGGACUUCUUUGAGUCUUGUAAUCAAGUUGGUCAGAACUCGAUUACGA